UAGCGGCGGGACGGGUGAGUAACACGUGGGCAACCUGCCCUGCAGAUGGGGAUAACUCCGGGAAACCGGGGCUAAUACCGAAUAAUCAGUUCCUCCGCAUGGAGGAACUCUGAAAGACGGUUUCGGCUGUCACUGCAGGAUGGGCCCGCGGCGCAUUAGCUAGUUGGUGGGGUAACGGCCUACCAAGGCGACGAUGCGUAGCCGACCUGAGAGGGUGAUCGGCCACACUGGGACUGAGACACGGCCCAGACUCCUACGGGAGGCAGCAUAGGGAAUCUUCCACAAUGGACGAAAGUCUGAUGGAGCAACGCCGCGGUGAGCGAAGAAGGUUUUCGGAUCGUAAAGCUCUGUUGUGAGGGAAGAACAAGUACGGGAGUAACUGUCCGUACCUUGACGGUACCUCAUUAGAAAGCCACGGCUAAGUACGUGCCAGCAGCCGCGGUAAUACAUGGGGUGGCAAGCUUUGUCCGGAAUUAUUGGGGCGUAGAGCGCGCGCGGGCGGUCCCUUUAAUGUUGAUGUGGAAAGCCCACGGCUCAGCGCGUGGAGGGUC
rnacentral:rRNA from 1 species